CGCACAUUGCGCCCGCCAGUAUUCUGGCGGGCAUGCCUGUUCGAGCGUCAUUUCAACCCUCAAGCCCUCCCUUCGGGGAGCGGGCUUGGUGUUGGGGACCGGCCCCCCGCGGCCGCCCCCGAAAUGCAGUGGCGACCUCGCCGCAGCCUCCCCUGCGUAGUAGCACAACCUCGCACCGGAGCGCGGAGACGGUCACGCCGUAAAACGCCCAACUUUCUUAGAGUUGACCUCGGAUCAGGUAGGAAUACCCGCUGAACUUAA
rnacentral:misc_RNA from 1 species